ensembl:lncRNA novel transcript, antisense to CCNB1IP1
GAGGGAGUUGCGGGCCGCAGCUCCGGCUAAGAAUCGGGAGAAAUUCCCAGAAACAGAGUGACAGCUGUAAUUGGACAGCUGGCACCUCCAUGUUGAGAUAGGGUCUCACUCUGUCGCCCAGGCUGGAGUGCUGUGACGCGAUCUCGGCUCACUGCAACCUCCGCUUUCCGGGUUCAAACGAUUCUCCUGCCUCAGCCUCCCGAGUGGCUGGGAUUACAGGCACAUGCCACCACACCCCGCUAAUUUUUGUAUUUUUAGUAGACAAAGGGUCUCGCCAUGUUGGCCAAGCUGGUUUCAAACUAUUGACCUCCAGUGAUCCACCCACCUCGGCCUCCCAACGUGCCGGGAUUACAGGCGUGCGCCACCAUGCCCAGCCUUAUACCGUCUUUUGUAGCCAUCUUUCCAGAUGUUGUGAACCUAUUAUGAAUUAGUAACAGAUGCAAUUAGCCACGCAGUGGACAUCAAACCCUGCAAACCCCUGAGUAGUGCCAAACCAUAAUAUCAAAUCUUUUUCCUUCAAACAAAAAACUGUCAAAAACUGUGCAACUUCCUACAAGGUUUGUCAUCUGUUUCGGAGUAAUUAGGCCUUUGUACAUUUCCUAAAAUAUCUUCUGAUAACUUUAAAGUGGUAAUUUAAUUUUGGUAUAAACCAGUUCCAAAAAAAGGAGAUCUUCAUGUGUGAACCAUAUACUCCCUAACAUCUGUUUUUGGCUGUUUGAGCCUUCUGUGUGAAUUCUGGUUUUAACUAUGCCAAAUGUAGAAAUAUUAAUACAAAAAAUAGUACAACUCAUUUAAAGUUGAAAAAUGCAAAAUAUUCUAAUUUGACUAGUACCUAACUUUGUGAUCCUAGCCAAUUCCCUUUGCACUGCAAUAUGAUCACUUCCUGGAGAUGUAUCUAAGUUAAUAAAUACUUAACAUUAAUUCAUUUUAACAACAUGUACUGCAAAUAUGCUACAAUUUAUCCAUUCUUCUAAUAGACAUUGAUUGCGGGUUUUUACAAUUAAAAACAAUACUGCAAUGA